UGAUGUGUACAUGAUAUGCCUAGGAUGU
rnacentral:piRNA from 1 species